UGGUCGCCCGGCAGCGGCGAGGAUCCCUUUGCCGCGCCAAAAAGGCGCCGCGGCCGCCGCUGCGUCGAGGAUCGCGCCCUUGCAUCUGUAGGGCUUCUCUUACACCACCAAGAGAGCAGGUUGCGGAGGAGCGUGCGCCCUCCCCGAAGGCACACGCGGGAACAGCACUUACUUGCCACAUGCAGGGGACCUGCCUGUGCUAGCGGGGGAUGAACGAGCAAAUAACCGCUGUUCUUCAAGCGGGUUGCACGCGUAGGAGGUGGACUUGCAAGCAUUCAACCAUUUGAAGAGAUUGGCACCAUAUCCGGCUACAGUAGUGCAGCCUUCCCCAGCGGAGAGCCCACCAGAUGUUGCUAGACUACAGUUCCUAUCAUUCUUAUUGGCCAUGCUGGGUGGGGCUGAUAUAGUCCAAAACAUCUGGAGGGCACCGGUUAAGGAAGGCAUUGCAGGCCUGCUUGGGAGACCCCUUCAUCUCUCAUGCCAAUCUCCAUUUCUUUUCCAUACUGCCCUUGCCAUUUCCUGGCAUUAGUGGUGUGUGACCUUCCAUUCCUCAGUUGCUAGCAGUUGGAAACCCUCACCACCCUCCCUUUAAGCGUCUGGAGAAUGAGAUGGCCCUUUCCAGCUUGUGCAUGAGAAUUUCCCUUUCCUUGGCUCCAGAAGGAAAGAUGCAGCGUAAGCACGCAGCUUGCAGGAAGAUGACACCUAUGACUAACAAACCCCUAAAACCAGGCAGCAGGUUAGCCCUCUCAUGCCCAUGCCAUGGCUCCAGAUGAGGAAUCCUUGAAGGUAGAGUCAACUGAUGACAGCAUCCCCCCAAGGAAGAGAUGGAGUAAUUUCCUUGCCCAUCCCUCCCUUGUCACAGGAUCCUGUGCCCCUGAACCCUAGGAAGACACCUCUGGCACUAAACUGUAGCAGUUAGCCUACAAACUUCUCAGAGGAGAGUCCUGAGAAGCUGUCGCCACAGCUUGAAACCCAGGGCCUAGACCCAGGGCCUAGAAGAAGCCAAGGGCUGCAGAGGAAUACACCAACUCUUUAACUGUCCAAAUGUAGCAUUCAGGGGUUGAGGCCUGUAGAACUAAACUAGUCUGUAAAAACCUGCCAAUUGCUCCAAGACAUACUUAACUCCAUUCUGUUACACUGGAGGAACACUGACCAUGGUCCUGAAAUCUAUACAGUACUUGGAUCCCAAGAUGCUGAUCCUGCUUUGCCUCACCUUCCUGUCUGAAGUCCAUGAGUCCAGGAUCCUACUCUAGUUUCCAAUGUAAUAAAUCCACCCCCAAUCCAACCACAGGUUUAUAAUGGGUCACACAGCCCCCACCCAUGAUACCAGGAUCUAAGCUGCAAGGGACCGCCCACUCAAAUGCUGACCUCACUGAUAAUUCUGCCACAUGAAUCAUCUACCUCAGGGGGCCAUGAAAGGAAGCAGGAAUAGCACCAGCUGUGAGAAUAAAUGGCAGAGACAGUCUGAACGCCAGUUUCUGGAAAACAACAGAGAAGGGCCAUUGCCUUCAAUCCCUGCUUUUGGGCUUCCUGGAGGCAAGUGGCUGGUUUUUAUUGAUAAAACUGAGAAAGGGCUGCAGUUUCCACAACUUUUUACUUUUUUCUGAAAUGUAUAUGUAUACAUACUAAAUGUGUUAAUGUCUGCAUCUUUGCAACAUUUCCAGAUGAGUUCUUCUACUGAGCAAAUUGUAGGCACUUGACUAUUCUUCCAGAAUCGAGCCAUUUACUGCUAACAAACUCCAUGUUAUUCUCAUCCUUCAUUUAACAAGAACAGUUUGAGAUUGUGCAAUGGUGUAUUCUGAAAUUGUUUUAAUCUCAUCUGAAACCCCUUUCCAAACCUCUGAAUAAACCUGCAAGAAAAGUAAGAGACUCUCCACCACCACAUCCCACUUUCUAGUAUAACUCAUUACCUCUUUUAUUUUCACUCUGGGGGAGUAUUUUUAACCCUAACCCUCACCUUUACCCUGAAGCUGCAAUGUACUCUGCAGGGGAAAUAUACAAGGUAUUGUAUGUAUAUCACAUCUAGUUGUGCCCAUAAUCUUGUAAAUAAUCUCCUUCAUGGAAACAUUUACUUAAUAGAAGCAUUCUUCUGUUAUAUUUCUUCCCAAUCUUCUUUCUCUAACAUUGCGCUCAGAUCUUGUUAUUGUUGUCUUUCACAUAUACUGUCUUUUCUUAACUCUCUCCUGAGAGUUUUUUUAAUCCCAGAAAUCAAACUUUUAGAUAUAAUAUUCUCUACUCCUACCAGAUACCAAAAUCCUAUAAGAUCUCUCUUUAUUUAAUAUGGAAGAUGUAAUGAAAUGAUACAACCAUAUAAAUGGAAAUGAUCAAAUCUACCCCCCCCAUAUUAAGUUUUUUUUGUCUCAAGCUCUCCUCUUAAUACCUCUGCUUUCAAAGACAGGGCAGCUGACAACAAAAGGAAUGGCCUUUUUGUGGUGGCACCCUGCUUAUGGAAUGCCCUUCCCAUGGAUGUCUGACUGGCACCUUCAUUAUUAAGAUGUCAGGUUUUUAAAUUUCUUAUCGGGCCAAUCUUUUAAUUAACAAUUUUCUUGUUUUUACCAGUUGUUAAUUUUCAACCAUAGAUGCUGCUUUAAACAUGCUGUUGCAAAUUAAUUUUUAUCAGAUUGCUGUUCAAAACAUAACUGUUUUUAAUUGUUUUAAAUGUAUGCUACUUUGGAAAUUUACUACUUUAAAAGUAGCAUAUAAAUCUUUGAAACAUGUUCUUUGGAGGCUGGCUGAACCUAGAGUGAGAGCAUGAGGGAAGAAUAGCUUCUAUUUUUACUGAAGUCUUAUGUGGAGUUGUUAUGGUAACUGCACAUAAGGCAGUAGAGAGUACAGUGCCCAUCUUCCUUAUUUCAUUCCUUUCAGCCAAAUGAAUAUUGUGUAUUUAUCCAUGCGACAGAGAUUGUAAUGCAGCUAUGCUGUUGGUGCACAAUCCCAAAUUUGACUAGACAACUAUAAAGCUUCAAUUUACCAGAGUUGACUUAUCUUUAUUAUAUUAUGUAGAUUCCACAUCUAUUCAAAUCUGUAGUAGGUGCAACAUUCCACCUGAUACUUUCAUGAUAUAUUAAUUAUAUCCUACUUGACAAUUUAUCAUCUUCUUCCUCAAAACAAUUAAUUUCUAAGGCUUUAUUUGAGGGCCAGAACACAAAUUAUUUUCACCACAGGGAUGCCACCAGAAAUGGCCUCUCCAUGUAUAUUUCAUGUCCCCACAAAUCCGGUUCUCUAUGACCACUGGUUCUAGUCUUGUCCACAACAUGUAGACGGUCUUAAUUUCUGUGUCAAUAUCUAUAAUGGAGCUUUUUUUCACAUUCAUGGUAGCCAUUUGGGGUGGAGGUGUAUAUGUGUCUUCUAUUCAUGCCUAAGUACAAAAAGUAGAAUGAGAAUCAGCCCUGGUGCUGGGACGUUGGUCUGGAAAAACUAGUGUGGUGCUGA